CACGUAGGGGGCGAGCGUUGUCCGGAUUUAUUGGGCGUAAAGAGCUCGUAGGCGGCUCAGUAAGUCAGGUGUGAAAACUCCAGGCUCAACCUGGAGACGCCACUUGAUACUGCUGUGGCUAGAGUCCGGUAGGGGAGCAUGGAAUUCCUGGUGUAGCGGUGAAAUGCGCAGAUAUCAGGAGGAACACCAAUGGCGAAGGCAGCUCACUGGGACGGUAUUGACGCUGAGAAGCGAAAGCGUGGGUAGCGAACAGG
rnacentral:rRNA from 1 species